UGCCUACGGGGGGCAGCAGUGGGGAAUAUUGCACAAUGGGCGAAAGCCUGAUGCAGCAACGCCGCGUGAAGGAAGAAGGGUUUCGGCUCGUAAACUUCUAUCAACAGGGACGAAAGAAAUGACGGUACCUGAAUAAGAAGCCCCGGCUAACUACGUGCCAGCAGCCGCGGUAAUACGUAGGGGGCAAGCGUUAUCCGGAAUUAUUGGGUUUAAAGGGUGCGCAGGCGGCACGGCAAGCCGGCGGGCAAAUCGCGGGGCUCAACCCCGCCCAGCCGGCGGAAC
rnacentral:rRNA from 1 species